rnacentral:sRNA from 1 species
CCAGAUGUCAUGUGUAUGAUUGAGUAUAAGAACUUAAACCGCAACCGGAUCUUAAAAGCCUAAAUUGUGUUUCCUUGUUAGAAGAUACAAAGCCAAAGCGUCAUACGGCCUUUUGCUACACCAUCAAAGCUUUGAGAAGCAAGAAGAAGCUUGGUUAGUGUUUUGAAGUCAAAUAUUACUAGAUGUCAUCUGUAUGAGUGAGUAUAACAACUAGAAUCGCAACCGGAUCUUAAAAGCCUAAGUAUUGUAUCCUUGUUAGAAGAUAUAAAGACAAAUACUCAUACAGAUCUUACAAGCCUAAGUAGUGUUUCCUUGUUAGAAGACACAAAGCCAAAGACUCAUACGGAUUUUAGCUACACCAUUAAAACUUUGAGAAGCAAGAAGAAGCUUGGUUAGUGUUUUGGAGUCAAAUAUGACUAGAUGUCAUAUGUAUGAGUGAGUAUAACAACUAGAAUCGCAACCGGAUCUUAAAAGCCUAAGUAUUGUAUCCUUGUUAGAAGAUAUAAAGACAAAUACUCAU